GGAGGCAGCAGUGGGGAAUAUUGCACAAUGGGCGAAAGCCUGAUGCAGCGACGCCGCGUGAGGGAUGACGGCCUUCGGGUUGUAAACCUCUUUCAGCAGGGACGAAGCGCAAGUGACGGUACCUGCAGAAGAAGCACCGGCUAACUACGUGCCAGCAGCCGCGGUAAUACGUAGGGUGCGAGCGUUGUCCGGAAUUAUUGGGCGUAAAGAGCUCGUAGGCGGUUUGUCGCGUCGGCCGUGAAAACUUGGGGCUUAACCCCGAGCCUGCGGUCGAUACGGGCAGACUUGAGUUCGGCAGGGGAGACUGGAAUUCCUGGUGUAGCGGUGAAAUGCGCAGAUAUCAGGAGGAACACCGGUGGCGAAGGCGGGUCUCUGGGCCGAUACUGACGCUGAGGAGCGAAAGCGUGGGGAGCGAACAGGAUUAGAUACCCUGGUAGUCCACGCCGUAAACGGUGGGUGCUAGGUGUGGGGGACUUCCACGUUCUCCGUGCCGCAGCUAACGCAUUAAGCACCCCGCCUGGGGAGUAC
rnacentral:rRNA from 1 species